CUAGUAUAGCAAUCUAUACGGUGAAACUGCGAAUGGCUCAUUAAAUCAGUUAUCGUUUAUUUGAUAGUACCUUACUACUUGGAUAACCGUGGUAAUUCUAGAGCUAAUACAUGCUAAAAACCUCGACUUCGGAAGGGGUGUAUUUAUUAGAUAAAAAACCAAUGCCCUUCGGGGCUCCUUGGUGAUUCAUAAUAACUUAACGAAUCGCAUGGCCUUGUGCCGGCGAUGGUUCAUUCAAAUUUCUGCCCUAUCAACUUUCGAUGGUAAGGUAUUGGCUUACCAUGGUUUCAACGGGUAACGGGGAAUUAGGGUUCUAUUCCGGAGAGGGAGCCUGAGAAACGGCUACCACAUCCAAGGAAGGCAGCAGGCGCGCAAAUUACCCAAUCCCGACACGGGGAGGUAGUGACAAUAAAUACUGAUACAGGGCUCUUUUGGGUCUUGUAAUUGGAAUGAGUACAAUUUAAAUCCCUUAACGAGGAACAAUUGGAGGGCAAGUCUGGUGCCAGCAGCCGCGGUAAUUCCAGCUCCAAUAGCGUAUAUUAAAGUUGUUGCAGUUAAAAAGCUCGUAGUUGAACCUUGGGCCUGGCUGGCCGGUCCGCCUCACCGCGUGCACUGGUCCGGCCGGGCCUUUCCUUCUGGGGAGCCGCAUGCCCUUCACUGGGUGUGUCGGGGAACCAGGACUUUUACUUUGAAAAAAUUAGAGUGUUCAAAGCAGGCCUAUGCUCGAAUACAUUAGCAUGGAAUAAUAGAAUAGGACGUGUGGUUCUAUUUUGUUGGUUUCUAGGACCGCCGUAAUGAUUAAUAGGGAUAGUCGGGGGCAUCAGUAUUCAAUUGUCAGAGGUGAAAUUCUUGGAUUUAUUGAAGACUAACUACUGCGAAAGCAUUUGCCAAGGAUGUUUUCAUUAAUCAGUGAACGAAAGUUAGGGAUCGAAGACGAUCAGAUACCGUCGUAGUCUUAACCAUAAACUAUGCCGACUAGGGAUCGGGCGAU
rnacentral:rRNA from 1 species